rnacentral:lncRNA from 1 species
CUCUGCCGCUGCUGCUGCCGCCGCCUUUGCCUUACGGCCUGGAGCACCAGGCCGAAGCCGAAGGGAGCGUCCGGAUCCCGGAUAGCAGCCAGGACCCGGGCCUUCACGUUCCGGCGCCAGGGACUGGACAGAAUGUGCGGCUAUUAGGUGCCCAGUAGAUCGACAGCCCCUCCGUGCCGGCCCUUGGCCAAGUAGGGACUCGGAAGCUACCCCUACGGCGUCCGCGCCCGGAGCCCUGGCUCUUCUACCUGCCUGCAGAUACAAACCCCACUCCCUGCGAAGAUGGUGUACACGCAGCCCCGAGCACAGACCCGAAGCUGUCCACCCUUCUUGGGCGCCGUCGCGGUCUGGCCGCUGCCCUUCGAACCCAUGGUGGGUCCCAGGCAGCUGCCAGACCCCCCUACCCCAGAGUCCCACUCCUCCAGAGCCUUCCUCUCCCAGUGACCCCAGGAAGCCCAAGCAGGUGCCACGGCCACACACCUCGCGACCCAAAGGGCAGAGACACAAGCACGCUACCACCGCCCACCAAUGUGCGAGUGCAACUGAUUCACGCACGGGGCACAUGCUCUGAGUUUCUGGCAGGUUUUCCCUCUAUAGUUCAGGGGAUUCCACAUUGUAUUUAUUUGCACAUGUUAGAUAAUCACGUGGUUCUGUCCCAGGGGACCUCCAACGACCUCCAAUGAGGUAGGUUAAGGGAACAGGAUUUUUCAAAAUCAGGAGAAUAAUCAGAAACAUAACAGCUGCUUCUAUUAAGAGGUAGAGAUGAGCUAAAGUUAAUAGAAACUGCACGUGCCAGCGGCCAAAAUCCAGUUUAGCUAGCUGGAAAACCCGACCCACGCUGCUUGCAGACGCCGGGGAUAGAAUGACAAACCCUAGGCAGCCAAUGAAUCGCAGCCUAGGAGCAGUACAUCACCAGCACGGGUUCCCAUUGGCUGGGGUGCCCUUCCCUCUCUUGUCAGCGGCUUAACCAGUUCACGAAUUUGACCUACACCACAUUCGCAGGAAAAGAAGUUAGAAGAAAAGUCCGUAUUUUUAAAAGAUGUUCUGAUGCA